CACGUGAAUGUGGAAUCUGGGAAAACACUGCGAGCUGAGAUAUCAGCCACUGCUGAGGAGGGAGGAGAGGUCGGAGGAGGGCCUCUCACCUCUGUCACGGAGCCUUCAUUCACCCUCAUCACAAUGGAGCCAUGAAAAUGUGUUGGUGAUGCUAUUGUUUGCAUGUUCAGCAAAUAUAACUCCUGCAUUACAUCAUGCAACUUUGAAGAUGGAAUGAUAUUUCUUCCCCCAUAUCACAGAUGUUUCUUCAGUUCAACAUUGUAAGGUCAUUUCUCUUGAGACUAGAGCUGUGACGCUGCGUCCAUCUGGAGAUAUUAACGGAAUAACAGUAUAUGCACUAUAAUGCCAAAGAAAACAUAGGAGGGAUGACUACAACAGCCAGCAAGAGAAUAACUCAGCAUUUACACAAUGAAGCAUAUGUUGCAUCAAAAGCCAG
ensembl:lncRNA